AUAUAUAUAUAUUUUUUUUUUUUUAGCACUAUGGCGUGAGGAAACCUGUUUUAGAGAGAGGUUUGAAUGUACAGUCGUGUCCCUUCAACGUUUGCUGUUGUUGCCAUGGUUACCGGUUGAGCUGGGAAAGGUCACCAGUCUCCAGCAGGACAUCGGAAAGACGCACAUGGAGACACUCAGAGGACGUGCAUCCUCAACUGGACAAGGUGUGGAGUUUUGAAAUGAGACCCUCUUCUUCCUCGGUGAGGAGGGGCUUGAGGGGGCAGCACGGCUCCUCCACAGCGUCGACUUGUCCUUGAGCCCCUGAUUGCUCCUGGGGGGGCCCUCACACCGCGGACAGAGAAAGCCCCCACAUGCCUGCUUAGCCUAAAGAGACACGUGUGUGUGUGUCUCACGCAGCGUGGUUACAUAGAUUCCAAUAACUGGCUCAGUCGGACUGAAAUGGAAUGAUCCGUUUCACGUAAACACCUUUGUCCGACUACGUGCGGUCCAACUACGAUCCGACUAACACGCCUGGAUAAUUCCAUCCGAUCCGGUUGAUAGUGCAACUAUUGCGGCAUGUAGAAACAAACAGAAAAGCAACAAACAAAAGGAUCAAACUCCAGCAGAUCAGAGUCUCUGCGUGAUUACAUGAAAGCCUCUAUUUAAGAAUUAUUCCCUCUGCUCCUCCUCCUUUUCCUGGUGUUUGGAAUCACAAACGCCGACUACUUUGACGCUCCCGAGCUCUCCGAAGCGCGUCGGUCCGAGUCGGCGACGUCGCCACUCGGUUCUGAAGGCCUCUGUAUUUGAGGACGUCUCUGAACUGAAAAACGUUCCCCCGUGGAGCGGAGCGCUGCGGUAGAGACAUCAGCAGAGCGCUGCUGCUCCCGGCAUCACGCAGCAUCCUCUCAGCCCGUUACCCACAACAAUGAAUCCACAUCUUGGUUUUCUGGUUCUGGACCAGAACUCACGGGGGAAUCUCCCAGACGUGGUCCGUAACAACGUGCUCACGUUGACAUUAACAUAGUUGGCGGCCGAGUGAAGACAUCAAGCGCAACAGCGUCCCGCCGUCUGACACUGUGCAUCGCAUUCAGCGCUCCCUUCAUUUCCUGCGUCAGCCUCCAGCGUGGCGUCGGGAUCUUAUCUGGACGAGAAAAAAACAAACCAGCGGGCCCACGGUGACGCGCGUCACUGAUGGCGAGGAGACAAAUGGACACAGGGCAGCGAGAUCGUACAAAAAAAACACAGAAUUUAAAUACGCAGACGUGUUGGUCUGUGAUGAGGUGCUGCGUCUCCAUCCUGGUCAUCAUUGUGUUUAUUGGAGGCUAAUAGAGGGAUGGUUAUGCACGGCGCGCUGCUGCUGCUCCAGCCGGCUCAGAGGACCACUCGACCGACGCCGACAGCACGCACGCCGCAACUACCCCAGUGCCCACUCACACACACACAGACAGACACACAACUAACACAUCUCAAACACAUAAUAACUCACAUCACAAAAACUGGGAUUUUCACAUGAACACCACAGUUGUUUUUUGCGUGUAAUCUCAUGAAUAACAAGGUAGACACACACAGACGCGCGUACACAGACACGCACGCUAUCAUCAGAGUGCUGCCUCUUGACAACGAGCAUUACUAAAAGGUUUUACCUCCCACACACUCAACGCGGGAAGGGCAGAGUGUGUGUGAGAGCUCUUGUACCUCUGGAGUCAUUUGUUUGCACACACACACACACACGCACACCAUUCUAUCAAAUGCGUGUGCGUGUUUGCGUGUGUGUGAGAGCGCGCGGGAGGGAGUCUGCUCUCACAUAGAAUCACUUAUCCUAAUAAAUCACGACGUACUGGACAUGACGACGACAUAUGAAUACAAUCGGUGGUGCAAGCUGCUUUGAAUGGAUUUCCUUUGUGUAGAAGAAGUUGUGUCGUGGUUGUGAGUUUCAGCACCACGGACAGCUCCUCUCAACAACAUGUGUGAUCAACAAAGAGAUCCUCAUUCGCUCCGCCUCCAGGUCGCCGGACAUGUUGAAUCCACGUGGAUCUUAGGUCAAGUUAUUUUGACACUAGCAAUGUUGUGCGCUGAGGGUCUGAACAGACACAAUCUCCCUGUAAACUCCAGAGAGGAGCUGCAGUAACGCAUGUGAUUCAACCUUUUCUUGCUGCCAUUUGUCAGUGAACAGUUUUUCGCUCACAGUUUAGAGAUGAAAGCGACCGCGGCCGGCUGUGUGUCCUUCUGAAAAGCAACGGCCUCCUCUGAUGGAAACUUGGUUGUGCGAUUUGUCGCGUCCUGUUGAUGUUACGCCUCUUUGUUCGGUGAGCCGGGAUGCUUUCAUUUAGCUUCAGUGUGGCUACGUAAUUAGCUUUUCAAUGGACCCGGAGUGCUUGUGUGGGCCGUGUGUUUGUACCGGUAUUGAUUAAAGCACUCUUAGUGCAGCUGUGUGUGUGUGUGUGUGUGUGUAAUGGCGCUGUGGCUGUGUUGGUUGGUUCUGAUGAGUGUGUGUGUGUGUGUGUGUUUCUUUGCAUGUGGUUGUGUGUGCGUCUGGCUGAGGUUUUACUGUGUGAUUUUCAAAGUGUGGCCUGUGAGGACUGGAAAAAGUUGCGGCGCUUUUGUAUAAAUACGUUACACGUGUUUGUCUAUGAAAACAACUAUUUCUAAUACUCAACCGUACUGAUUUCACGUGAGGCGAGUGAGCUCUGGGAUGCUCAACAAGAACAGCGCGUUCUGUGCUCAUGAGAUUCUGCUUCAGGCAGACAUCACACUAUCAGGGAGGACGCCAUGUUGACACUAGUCUCGCUCCUCGUCUCCCCCCCCCUCGUCUCCCCCCCUCGUCUCCCUGCUGUGUGGCCAAAAUGUUCCAAUCCACAGCCGACGAGCACAUGCAAUCUGUCCGGGCUUUUACUAUAACUAACAUCCAUCUAAAUACCUCCACGUCACUCCCAUCAUCAUCGUCAUCGACUUAAGUUACAGGCAGGAGGUUUUAAGGGCUGUUUUCCAUCUUUUUCUUCGUUUGAGUCAGUGAACAUACUUAUUUAAGUCUAAAAACAACUCUUUGGUUUUCUUGCCUACACAUGAGCCACACACAGACACACACACACAGUAGAUUGCGUUAAUAUUGCUGGGCUGAAAUGAGCUCAUAGACUUGACUAGUUGUUUUAGUGCUGCUGGUCGAGGACAGUUUUCACUUCCGCGGUGGGAGAUGGAGGAAUAGGAGUUGGAUUAGUGUGAAAAUAUUAAAAGAAAAAGUAUUUUUAUUAAUCAUAUGUGGUGGAUGGAGACAUGGAAACUUUUAUCAGUUGAACUGAAGAACUUAAGCUGUCUAAUAAUUUCAUUGCUAAAUUUGCCCUUAAAGUGGCGCGCACGCCGCCGCAGGUGGAACGUUUCCUUUUUUUCUCCUGCGAUGUGAAAAAGCCUCGGUCGCUGAAGGGGGAGUAAGUGUCUGACAGACCUCGUUUUGUCGCACUCUGCAGCGGCUAUUCGCAGAAACAGACACACGCGGGUACAAAACCUCACAAGAGCCCAAACACACACACACACACACACACACACACGGGGUGCGAUAACCCCCCCCUCCCACACACUCGUCAUCUCCUCUCAUCCACUACUCCCAUUUUGCCGUCAUCUCCUCCCACGCUCUCCUCCUCUUCGCCCUGUUUGUAUUUAUUUAUAUGGUUUUACCCCCCCCGCCACCCCCCUCACAUGUCAGACUGCACACGCUCAGGUGCUCAGUACGACCACCAUCAUCCAGGCGUCUGUUUCCAUGUUAACAGCCACACGGAGCCUGGAGGCUCCUCAUCACACAGGCGCUUAAAGAAGCGUAUUUCUGCGUGACAUCAUGACUGCAGGCGGUUGGAGGUUGUUCGAUGGAGGAUUAGUUCCAUCAAUCAGAUCACAACAAGAAAUUAGAGAUUGAGUGAAGGGAAGAAAAACAAAUGCACAAACUUUCUGACCAACUUUUACGUAAGAAAUGGUUGUUUAUUUAUUUCUUUGUAUUUUUAACCCGGCGCCUCUUAGUUCUGUAGUUUAUUCUAUAACUUUGUGGCCUCAAACCUCAUUUUCCUUUUAACUGAAGUAACUUUCCUGAUUAGCAACAUCUCAAAGACAUCUUCUUCUUGGAGAACGGUCCCCACGCUGUCAUGAGUCUCACAGAGGAGCGAGUUUAGAUUCAGAUGUUUUCGUCCAGGCUUUGAAGAGGAGGAGGACGCUGAGUCGCCGUGUGCGUUGAAUCUCCCGGCUUCGGGUUUGCACAGUGAGAUACGCGUGUUACGUUUUCAACAACCGUGAGUUUGGAGGCAGAAAAACAAUGUCAGCCUGCUGGUAAUUUGAUUGACAGGUGAUCUCUGGCAAGUGGAGUGAAAAAGCACUCGCUGCUUCUCAAUCUGCAGGUUGUUUGGUUUGAAAACCAGCUGUGUGUGUGUGCGUGCGUAGAGACACAAUCCUCCUUUCCAAACGAUCAUAGCGUGGUGAAACGACACGGCUUGAAUGACGAACGCACACAUACACGCACACGUCAGGCGCAGCCGUGUGCAGGGGGGCAGGGAGGAAGCGCUGGAGGCAAAGACACACUCAAAACUGCUGAUCAGACAACUUAACGCACAAAAAACUCACUCACACAGCGAACCCACACAACCGCGUGUGUACCAGGACGGCCAACGCGUGUGUGUGUGUGUGUGUGUGUGUGCGGCACUGUCACAACCUACUUUGCAUUGCCUCAGGUGCGCAUCAAACACACACACACACACACACACACACACACACACACACACACACACAGUCAUUAGCAGGCAAACCACAUGUUAAACAGGAAACACCCCCCCCCUCCCCCGGCUUUACUUCCCCCUCUCUCCUCUCCAACGAGAUGACAAUGAAAACACGUGUGUGUGUGUGUGUGUGUGUGUGUGUGUGUGUGUGUGUGUGUGUGUGUGUUUUGAGUACACAAUGAGGGGAGAGUGCAAAAAUCAUUAAAAGUGCCUCACGAUCCGGUUGAAAAACAUUUUUCUGAAUGUUUUCUGCGUCUCACGAAAUCCGUUACAGUCGACGUCCUUCAUUGCGAAAAAAAAACAACCUUUUUUUUCUUCCAUUGUGAUUCCUGUGUUUUUAAAUCAGGCCUUUUUUUUCUUUUACACUUCACUGAGAUGGCGACACGCUUUGUGACAAUAUUCAUCAUGACCCCAAAUGGGGAAUUGUGUUUUUUACGAUCUGUGAUUAAAUCCUACAUCGUCGCACCAUUGAGAGAAUGAACCCGUCUCUACAGACCGUCACAACUUAACGGCAUCAUUUCAGGACACUUCUAACAUUGUAAAUGGACACAACGCUCAAACAAAACUGCCUCUAUUAUUUAGUAAAAACAUCACGGUUCUGUUUAUUACAAACAGGUCUGUUGGAAAUAUGUAAAUUGUACUGAUCAUCUUUGUGAAACGGACGGUUCGGUUUUCGGCCACCAAAGCUCUUGCGUAGGUUUUGUAAAAAGAUCGUAGUUUGCAUUAAAUUAGGAUUACUGCCCUCGAUGGACAUUCCGACGUGCCGUAACUUUACAAAAGUCCGGUGUUUACUUUCAGUUUGACCGUGCGGACGAGCUUCUCCUGGGAGACGAGGCUGGAGAGAAAAGGAGCUUUCUGACAAGAGCAGGGAGGACAGGUAGAGACAGAACUUGUCUCUCACAAGCAAGGAAAGAGAAAGAAAUGGCAGGGAGACAAAUGUUAAAGGACAGUCUCUGGCACCCUGGCUACGCAGGAUUCUCUUUGAAAAUGACAGAAAAGAAGUCGCAGAGAGGUGCUGAGGAGCCAUUAAUGACUGAGACAGUCAGAAGAGUCCACAAAUCCUGACCGACUGUCUCUCUGCAUUUGUACCCGGUGUCACCCAUCAGGACCACAGAGCAUCCUUUCAGGUUUAUUCGCUUGUCUUGUCUCAGCGUCUCUACCCGACUCCAGCAGACAUGAAGACAAGUGCAACCGAAGUUGGGAAUGAAGGACGGACACGAAAAUGAUGAUUGUGUCUUUCAGAAACUUCCUUUAUUUUAGCAUCGUGUACAUUGGUGUGUGGCUUCUACGAAUGUUUAGUAAAACAUCCGUUCGUCUCUGGAGGUAAAGGGAGGCUGCAAACAUGCACUCAUUCCAAACAAUGUUCCCAACCACCACAAGCAAAUAAUGGCGUUUCGUUUUCAUUCUGGGAUGAGUGGUGAAUGAUGAGGUACCGUCCCAAGUUCGAUUGCAGGCCCCACGAGACAAACACUUACACAAACAGCUGAGUUUUUAAGUCUUUUCUAUAUGUUUUCAAAAUCUGAUAUACAAAUCUAAAAGAGAAAGAGAAAGUAACUGAUGCGAUUGGGUUGUGAAGCGGUAACUCCAUUACCAUUGGGCCUUUAUUCAUGGGUUUAAGGUAAGAGCACAAUGUACAAGUGGUCCAUGUAAUGUUAAUCUGCUGUAAUCCAUGAAAGUCUAGGCUGAUACAACCCGAUGUCUUCUCAUAAUAUCACCAUUACUUUCGCUCGCGGUUCUGAAGUGCGAAGCUUCUGCUGAAAUUUCAGCAUUCUGCCAAAUGUCCGUCGUCAUUUAUUCCCUCAGUAAACAUUGUAAACAUGAGUUUAUGGUCUCGUUCUCUACUUUCAAGUCUUCCUCAAUACAGCAUGAUGCUCAUUGAGUAAAUGAAUCAAAUAGAGCAAAGAGCAGAGUAUGCUUUGAUUGACAGAUUGACUCUACCAUUGAUGACUC
ensembl:lncRNA